UAGGUAGAGAACUUUUUCAUU
rnacentral:piRNA from 1 species